GGGUCAGUAGGUUGGUCGUGCCACCGGUACGUACUGGUCUCACUGACUCCUCCUUCCUGAAGAACCGUAAUGCCAUUAAUUUGGUGUUGCGGGGAAACAGGACUGUUACUUUGAAAAAGUUAGAGUGUUUAAAGCAAGCUAACGCUUGAAUACAUUAGCAUGGAAUAAUGAAAUAGGACGAUCGAUCCUAUUUUGUUGGUUUCUAGGAUUGACGUA
rnacentral:rRNA from 1 species